CCCUUAGAUGUUCUGGGCCGCACGCGCGCUACACUGACGAAUGCAACGAGCUUAUAACCUUGGCCGAAAGGUCUGGGUAAUCUCCAAAUUUCGUCGUGAUGGGGAUAGAUUAUUGCAAUUAUUAAUCUUCAACGAGGAAUGCCUAGUAAGCGCAAGUCAUCAGCUUGCGUUGAUUACGUCCCUGCCCUUUGUACACACCGCCCGUCGCUCCUACCGAUUGAAUGGUCCGGGGAAGCGUUCGGACCGUGGCCUUUGGACGGUUCGCCGUCUGUUGGCUGCGGGAAGUUCGUUAAACCUUAUCAUUUAGAGGAAGGAGAAGUCGUANCA
rnacentral:rRNA from 1 species